GUGCUCACUUUGGCAGUACAUAUACUAAACCGGGAGUGAUAUAGAGAAUAUUAGCAUGGCCCCUGUGCAAGUAUAACAUGCAAAUUAGUGAAGCUGGGUGCUGAUGG
ensembl:snRNA U6 U6 spliceosomal RNA